GAUGAACGCUGGCGGCGUGCCUAAUACAUGCAAGUCGAGCGAACAGACGAGGAGCUUGCUCCUCUGACGUUAGCGGCGGACGGGUGAGUAACACGUGGAUAACCUACCUAUAAGACUGGGAUAACCUCGGGAAACCGGAGCUAAUACCGGAUAAUAUAUUGAACCGCAUGGUUCAAUAGUGAAAGACGGUUUUGCUGUCACUUAUAGAUGGAUCCGCGCCGCAUUAGCUAGUUGGUAAGGUAACGGCUUACCAAGGCGACGAUGCGUAGCCGACCUGAGAGGGUGAUCGGCCACACUGGAACUGAGAACCGGUCCAGACUCCUACGGGAGGCAGCAGUAGGGAAUCUUCCGCAAUGGGCGAAAGCCUGACGGAGCAACGCCGCGUGAGUUAUGAAGGUCUUCCGAUCGUAAAACUCUGUUAUUAGGGAAGAACAAAUGUGUAAGUAACUAUGCACGUCUUGACGGUACCUAAUCAGAAAGCCACGGCUAACUACGUG
rnacentral:rRNA from 1 species